GAUGAACGCUGGCGGCGUGCCUAAUACAUGCAAGUCGAACGCACAGCGAAAGGUGCUUGCACCUUUCAAGUGAGUGGCGAACGGGUGAGUAACACGCGGACAACCUGCCUCAAGGCUGGGGAUAACAUUUGGAAACAGAUGCUAAUACCGAAUAAAACUAAGUGUCGCAUGACACAAAGUUAAAAGGCGCUUUGGCGUCACCUAGAGAUGGAUCCGCGGUGCA
rnacentral:rRNA from 1 species